UGUUACUAAACCUGAGUAUGUAUGCUA
rnacentral:sRNA from 1 species